UACGGAGGGGGCUAGCGUUGUUCGGAAUUACUGGGCGUAAAGCGCACGUAGGCGGAUUGGAAAGUUGGGGGUGAAAUCCCGGGGCUCAACCCCGGAACUGCCUUCAAAACUCCCAGUCUGGAGGUCGAGAGAGGUGAGUGGAAUUCCGAGUGUAGAGGUGAAAUUCGUAGAUAUUCGGAGGAACACCAGUGGCGAAGGCGACUUCCUGGCCUGUUCUUGACGCUGAGGCGCGAAAGCUAGGGGAGCAAACGGG
rnacentral:rRNA from 1 species